UAGUGGGCUGGACUCUGCAGGGGGAACCUGGUGCUGGGGAAGUGUGGAGUGGCCAGGAACUGACCUGUGAGCCCACAAGGAGACCGUCGUCUAGGAAGGGGUAGGCUGUGUGCUUUGUAAUGCGAAGGAGGCACAGAGAGAAAAUGUAGCAUUUGCCAGUGGGGAGACCGAGGCAGCAGAGAGAGAACUUCCCACUUGACAUCAUUUUGUGAACUUUUUGAGUUUUGCAUCACAUUGAUUCAGCCAACCUUUCAGAGAAUGCACAUCAAUACUGUCCUGCUGACUGCUCCAGCCACUGACUCUAAAGAGUCCCCCUGGAUCCCACGGGAGAAGAGGUGGCGUGCUGUGUUACUCUGUGAGACUCAGGCUAAGCUAACUGAGAAGCCAAGCAUUCAUGGUUGUCUCUGCUCUGUGGACACACAAGCAUGUGAGCCAACUAAACAUUUCUGAAGACAUGAAUCCGACAAAAAACAUCAUCUGUCCAUAAGUUCAUGUGACAAGGCUGGACCAGACUGGGAUUCGCUAAACGGCUGUUUCUCCAGCAGAAACGCCUGUGAAAAUGUCGAAGCUGCGGAGCUACCAGAGACCAAUACCAUUUUUGAUCUCUACUGCGUAUCAUGAGGAGAAGGUUGAGAGUUUUGCUUUCUCCCUUCUGUUUCUCAUCAGUGUCUCUCCCAAGAGAUGGCAGUGGUUUCUGAGCACCAGUGUGAGUGUGAGGACCAAGCAUCCCAUUUUACAAAUGGGCCAACUGAAGUACGGAGACGACUUUCCUCGUGCACUGGGAUCAUGGAGCUCCGGGCUUCGGGAGUUAUGACAGGCUUACUUUAUAUAACACAUAGGCUGUUAUCCCCCAAGGGAUAGCCUGUGCUUUGUGUAACAUGUGGGCUGUUAUCCCCCAAGAGAUAGCCUGUGCUUUGGUGUAGUCCCUUGCUGUAUACAGUGACCUACACCCCUCCUCACACACACACACACACACACACACACACACACACACACACGAGCCCUGUAUGCUCCCAAGAAUAACAUGGCUGUGCAGUCUGUGCCUACCUUGAACUCUCUUGGGCAUGGACUUCACAGUCCAAAUGCCAGGUACCAAGUGUUCCCUGUAAGAACGGGGUCGGCCCUUUGCUACCCGUCACUACAGUUUCUUGCUUGGCAGCAUGCUUUCUUCUGACUUGGUCUGCAUGCCUUCCUCUGACUUGGUCCACAGGCCCAAGUCCCCUUUUCAGACGUUUCACAAAUGCUACUGCUUCAUGAGAUUCCUGAUUCCGGAGUUUUGAGGGACUUAUAACUUUAUUAAGCAAUGGGAGGCAGGAAAACAAAUCCUAAGCUUGACGACGGUCCUCAGGUGCAUUCACAGCCCUGAGAAUUGGGGAUCAUAGACUGCUUCUGGUACAAUGAAGUGUCCUCAGCCAUUUGAGUCUUAGAGCGAGCUGCUGCUGAGAUCCACACCCAGGUGCCCCCAAGGCCAAAGCUUUUCCUCUCCUGCUACUGUGUUGUUUUCUGGUCACCAAGAAUAGAGAAGAAUGUAACUGCUCUCAAAAAAGAAGUUUCUGGUGAUGUCCCAGGUUAAGGGGUUCAAUGUGGGACACUUGAAGCAGAAGGGCCGAGUUUGUGGAUUCCCCUAAAGACCUGUGCUAGGCGGGGAGCUCACCAGGAACUCUUGGUUCACUGAAGCAGCAGGAGUCUCACUGCUUGGGUCUCCUUGCUGUUUAUACCACGCAUGUCCUGGGGCUUCAGGUUGACAAGCCUUCUAGAAGAGGGAUGACCCUGUAGACAGGGACAGUGUUUGUUAAAGGUAAAGACACGACCCCGUUGACCAAGGAGUCAUACAAGACGAGAUGAGCGAAUCCCCUCUGUUUCCAGGAAUGUGGGAAAACUUCACAGGGAAAUUAGGGGUCUUGGUAGGGGGAAAGGACCAGAAAGGGAAACAGUGGAGGCAGAAGACUGAGGCCAUGCUCAGAAAAAAGAAAGGCUAGAAGGUGUAGUGUGGGCACUGGGGAUGUUCCAGGGCACGAUAAAGCAAUGGGAAAUGAAGCUGAGGGCAGGAUGUGGUUGGGGUUAGAUGUGAAGGUUCUCCUCGGUGUCCCAGGAUGCUUCAGUGCAGAGCCCUGCCUUCGGACAUCCUCUUUUGUCUCUGAGACUCACGUUGGAGGCCCAGGAGACUCUUCUCUUCCCCAAGACAUUUGAGAUCUAGAUUGUUCCAGGAUACUCGUGGGUGACACCAGUCUUCCUGGAAGCAUUAUCCAUUGCUCCAUUCCCACCCUGCUCACCCCACGUUGUUUGUCUUCCUUCAUAUUUGAAGGACUUCCUAGUGUGGGAGAGCCUUACCUUCUUGCCUUCCAAUGCUAGCAUACAGUAAACGCUCAGUAUGUUUCGGUGGUGGAAUGUCUCCAGUCUAGCAUUCAUGUGUUUUUCAGGCAGUGAGGAGUCAGGGAAGCCUGACUGCAGGAAGAGCAGAGGGUAGUUCUGCUUGUUUUCCGAAGGCUGAUCCAGCUGUGCUUUUAGGGGGUGCCAGCGCUGCGGUGCUCACCCCAGCAUCCGGCAGCCUCUGGUACUUGCCUGUCUAGGCACUGGGUUUUCUUCGUUUGUUUGUUGUUUUGUUUCCCUUAUGAGGGGUAGAGCAACCGCUGGGAGUUUUGUUGUAUAGCAAGACAAAUCGAAUAUUUGACCAGCACUCCCCAAAUGAGUCAUGACAUCCUUAGUGUAAUCCCUCACACCGCCAUACUGCACAUGACAUUAUCUACUUUUCCAAAGGGGUCAUCUUGGGCUGGAAGAAGGAAUCGCAGAAGGUGUUGGGCUCUGGUUAUUAGCCUUAUUUACAUACUGCAUCUUUUGUAUCUGGGCACUCACUUGAGCUGCUAGAACAGCUGCGUUUAUUCGCAAGAAGAGAUUGAAGCAGGUGUGUGGAGGCCGAGGAAUGGCACGUGCACAGUGGGGUCCUGGCCAUGCAGUGUCAAGAACAGAGAGCUUCAGCAGAGUUGCUUCGGGUGGCGUCCAUGGUCCAAGCCCUUGCUUCACAGUUCUCUUUGAAGAGGGCUGGUCACUGAGGACCAACCCCACAGGGAUGCCAUGGGGCGGGGUGGGCAGGCAGUCCUUCCAGGCCUGAGCAUCUGUGCCUCUUGGAGCUGAGCUUCAGAACUAGAUUCCUUCACUGUCCAAACACAGUAGGUCACAUUUUCGUCUGUGCUCACUUCAUUUGAUGAUGCAAACAUGAGGGCCCCAGGCCUUCAGCCACCGUCUGUGAAGAACUCUGACAGGGCUAUCUCCAUGUUAGACUGUAGAAAUCAGCCCUCCCCACUGGACAAGGUCCACUCACAUCAAGAUACAAAGUAACUGCCCCAUUGGAAGGGGUGAGCGCAUUCCUGAUGUGGUAGCAAAGGAGAAUAUGUGCAAUUCAGCAAAUUUGACUGUGCUCACCCUAUGUGAGCCGCAGGCAGAGGCUGGAGAUAAAGCAAACCAGGUCCUCACACCGCUGCCCACAAGAAGGGCACAGUUUAGUGCGGUUGACAGGCAUGCAGCUGUUGCAUCAAAAGGGGGUGUAUUUGGCAUGUCGUGGACCCUGGGAGGUCAGGGCAUGUUUACUUUCAAUGGAGCAUGAUAGAUGAAUGAUGCUGUUUUCCAGGGUGGACCGUUAAGGAGCGGGAACACUAGGGAGGCAGUGCUGAAUGUAUAAUAAUGGACAGGAAACAGCUCGAGCAUGAAAGCCACAUAUGCCGAAUAGAGGGCAUUGCUUUAGGUUCUCGACGUGUUAAUAUGCAGUCAGCUGCAAGGGGCAGGAACCCACACUCACCUGGUUUGAACAUGUGAGUGUAACCAUCAUGCUCCAAGGUGGGCUAGUCACACAUGGCUGAAUCCAGUCAGUUAGUUCUGCUGUUGAAGACGUAGUGUUCAAUGGCCCUCUCCAUUUUUUUUUUUAAAAAGAAACCCCAGAGAGUUGAUUGCUCAUUUUUAUUUGUAUCUUUUCGCUCAGUAAGGACAAAACUGUAAGAAACCUGACACCAACCACAGCCAUCUUUAGGCCUCUGUGGCAGAAGUACGCCCCAUAGCCAAGGCAAGUCAUCUCUGGCAAGGGGCCUUGUCUUGAAUCAUGCCCGGGAUGUAUGGGCCGGCCUCUUUUGAGCUCCUGUCCAGGUAGAGUGUGCUAGAACAGAAGCGGGCCUCUGACAGAGAUCAGGAACCAUGGGUUGCUGAGCAGCUGUUUGCUGGGGUAGAUGAUGAACACCCUUCUAGGGGGUGACCACAGGGACCAGGAGCAACCCGUCUUGUCAAAUGGAAAAGCCCCAUUAUCAUUGUAGGGUUAAGUAUCAUUGUAGGGUCAAGCUGAUGGCAAAUGGUGUCAUGAGAAGCCAAGCAUCUCCGUGGAUGGCCACCUCUCUUCUGUAAAGCCAUGUGUUUUGGGGUGAAUGGGGACAUUUUAGGACAGGGAGGGAGCCAGACAGAGUAAGGGUUUCCCACUGCAGUUGCCAAGACCCUCUUCAUGGACUACAACAAGCCCAGACUUCUUGGGAGCAGAGGGGAUGCGGAAUCAAAAUCAAAAUCAUAGGCAGAGCUGGGCCUGCCUUUGAAGUCAGACGUUCAAGGCGUUCAUUUUACAGAUGAGGAAACUGGGUCCAGACAGGUGGAGAGACGCUUGGAGCCUGGGCUGGCCCUUGUUCCUUGGGUUGGCACCGGUCUCUCGUGAGUCUUGUGCGAGACCACUCUCUAGGACCUCGUUUUUUGUCCUCGACAUCUAUCAACAUUUACUGUCAAGAUUAAAAUGUUCUAGAUGUUAAAAUGUAAGCGGUGCGUUGAGCACAAUGCGCUUAGCCCCAUUACUCAGGUCUUAGUGUGGGUGGGGCCUCUCCUCUUUCCCUUUGAAUCAGGCUGUUCUGAGGAAGAGGCCUGGAAGCUGCAGGCACUAGGUACAUGAAAGGUUCUUUUCCCGUCUUUUAUUUCUUUUUUUGGGGGGGGGAUUUUCUGGGGACCACGGCAGAGAAGACUUGUUCUCAGGCUAUGAUCUCUGGCCACGAAUGAGGGACAGUUGCCAUGUGUUCCCAGAUGAUUCUCUUGGCACGUUUUUUUUUUCUUGACAGCCUAUACUUCCGUUUGCAGCUAGCUACCCUUCUGAUACUCUAGCUGAUUUACCAUGAACAGACAUGUACCAUGGCUAAUGCAAUCUUGACAAGUUGCCUUUGUAGACAAACUUCCCUUGGAACAGAAGACACAAAAUAAGUAAAUAAAUAAAAUAAAAAGACUAUUGGUAAACAAACCAAGCUCUUUUUGACAAGGUGCCAAAUAGAAAUCACCUCAAAUCUCUUAUUAAUUUCAACUUGUUUUUCAACAACAGUCUUAAAAAUAAAUCACAUGUGUGUGCACGCACCCCAUGCUCUGGUAUUAUGUCUGACAUAAAACUACUAAGGCUGCAUGUAGAAGGGAGAGGAGACAGAGCCAAGUAUAUAUUGAUGAGAACAUCCUUGCUAUGGCAACAUAGAUGAUCUUUUCCCAUAAAACAGUGAAGAGAGAAAAGAUUGCAUGUGCACACAUAUGCAUGUGUCUGUGUGAGUCUAUUUCAGCCUGGAGAAACACGGAAAGAGAUGGAGCAGUAUAUACAGAAUGAAUAUCAGUACCAUGCAUG